rnacentral:misc_RNA from 1 species
CAAAAAUCCUCUCAACCUCUCCCGCGCACCCUGCUUAUCCUUCUUUCCCUCACCCUUUUACCUUCACGCAAAACCACUCCUUAGAAGACUCUUACCCACACCCACACAACACAACUCCACUCCAUUUGGACCGAUGCCCACAUAUGAACCUAUCUACACACAAGUCACCACUUUAUCUCCAAAUUUCGAAGCUUCAGCUGACAGCUCCAGACCUAUCUUCGAAACUCCAUCCCACAACCAUCUGCUCUAAUUUUCCCUUUUACUCUCACUUUCGACACCUGCUCAGCGCCAUCACAGAUCCAUAUCCUUCUUUUCACCAUCACUUUCUACACCGAUCUACUCCAAUUUCCCUUUGGUCUUCUUGUUUGGCUUCUUUCGCAUUCCAGCUGGACAAUCCUCAGUAGCCCCAUUACCAUAUCUUGGAGGAGUUUUUCCAUGGGUAUUCUGAGUUCAGGUUUCGUUUGUGUGUUAUAGGUUCAGUGGGUUGAAGAUUGUGGCAUUGAAGAUCUUCUUUUUUUAUACUAUUUCUCUUGCUUAGAAUUUUUGUGUAUUGUGGAUUCAGUGGGUUGUAUCAUACUUACCUUGAACGCUAUGCAAUUCACCACUUAGCUAAACAUAGGGCAUGCAGGGAAUAAACUUAGUUGAUGCGGUAAUUCAAAUGCAAUAUGUGAAUUAUAUCAAAAUGCUAUAUGUGAAUUAUAUCAAUUCAAUUUGUGAUAUAUAAACUACAAUUAAUUAGUAUAAUUUAUAUUCUAAAAAUAACUAAUAAAAUA